GUCAAAUCAUCAUGCCCCUUAUGACCUGGGCUACACACGUACUACAAUGGCGACCAAACAGAGGGAAGCAAGGCGGCGACGCCAAGCAAAACCCGAAAAGUCGUCUCAGUUCGGAUCGCAGGCUGCAACCCGCCUGCGUGAAGUCGGAAUUGCUAGUAAUCGCGAAUCAGAAUGUCGCGGUGAAUACGUUCCCGGGCCUU
rnacentral:rRNA from 1 species